rnacentral:rRNA from 1 species
GAUGAACGCUGGCGGCGUGCCUAAUACAUGCAAGUCGAGCGAACGGACGAGGAGCUUGCUCUUCUGAUGUUAGCGGCGGACGGGCGAGUAACACGUGGAUAACCUACCUAUAAGACUGGGAUAACUUCGGGAAACCGGAGCUAAUACCGGAUAAUAUUUUGAACCGCAUGGUUCAAUAGUGAAAGACGGUCUUGCUGUCACUUAUAGAUGGAUCCGCGCUGCAUUAGCUAGUUGGUAAGGUAACGGCUUACCAAGGCAACGAUACAUACCCGACCUGAGAGGGUGAUCGGCCACACUGGAACGGAGACACGGUCCAGACUCCUACGGGAGGCAGCAGUAGGGAAUCUUCCGCAAUGGGCGAAAGCCUGACGGAGCAACGCCGCGUGAGUGAUGAAGGUCUUCGGAUCGUAAAACUCUGUUAUUAGGGAAGAACAUAUGUGUAAGUAACUGUGCACAUCUUGACGGUACCUAAUCAGAAAGCCACGGCUAACUACGUG